GGUUUUCCAGUUUUUCCAGGACGCGUGGGAACCCUGAUUGUAAAGACAUGUGCUCCAAACUCCUCUUGAAGCCUGUGCACUGACCUACCGGAGCACCUGUCCUGCAGAGAGGAGCCGUAUGUGGGAGGACACCGGCAAAGGAAGGCCGUUCCUCAGCCAGUUCAGCUGGGGCGGAGGAGAGCCUGCAGCCACGCACUCGAUGUUGACUGAACUGUCCAGAACUGUGGUCAACUGCUCGGCUGUCUCACUGUUGCCGUCAAUUACAGGAGGAACUGAAAGAGACAAAUGAGAAUAAGUCAGUGUUGGUGGCCACACACGUGUACUUCCCGCUAUCAGAGGUGUGCGCUCCAGUUACAACGGUUAUUACCUGAGUCCGCUGUUCCUUGUGUUGUUGAUGACUUCUCCGUCCUUCAACCACUGGAUAGUGGGAGUCGGGGUUCCCUGAACUCGGCAGAGCAGCUUGAUGCUUUCAUUCAGCAAGACUCCCAUUUCACUGGGCAGCUCUGAUCCAGAGAUACUAGGAGGGACUAAGAGAGAAUUACUGGUUGUAGCAAAAUUCCAUGAAGAUCAAGAGAGACCAUGAACCAGCUGAUACCUGUUUUAGUAACAUAAAAACUUGACACAAACAUCUUCCAUGAGAAAAAAAGAGUAAGUUCUGCAAGUCCAAACCACAAACAAGUUUUCUAGAAAUGGGUGAAGGUUUUUUUUGUGAUGACUGAAGCAGAGUUGGAGCAUGUACCUUGUACGGUAAGGUGGUAGCUCUUGCGGGCCUUGCCCUCCACGUUGGAGGCUACACACGUGUAUGUGCCGCUGUCAGAAAGCUGCGAGCGUGCAAUCUGCAGCUUGCUUCCUCCUGAGAAGAUGUGCAUCUCCAAGGACUCUGAGUUCUCUGUAAUAUAGUUUGAUUACACAUAAAUAA